rnacentral:misc_RNA from 1 species
UGAACAAGUACGGCUUCGAG